rnacentral:lncRNA from 1 species
GGGCUCCUGGGGCAAUGGCCUUUGGUAGUAUAUAGUGAGUGUACUUAAUAGAACAAAGAACAGAUACAGGAGUAUAGUGACAAGAUGGGUAAAGAACCCUAGGUCCAACAUACCCACAUUGUGGUUGACCAUCCUAUAGACAUUAGUUUGCUAACCAAUUUUUAAAAAUGAUUUUAAACUGCCAUAUAUCUUUUUGACUUUUGCCCUACUGUUGCUUCAUUCUCCAAACUAGACCUCCAGAGGGUUUCUGAAGGUGUCAAGUCAUCUAACUUUGGAAAUCUUGCCCUGAGACCAUGUUGUCCUCAUUGGUGGAUUAGUGGUGUGAACUUACUGAUUGGAAGGAUGGCACCACCUGUGACAGGUUCCUCAGGAAAUAACUAAGAUGAUGUGGAAGUCCCAUCUCUUUGAGGAAUUGCCACAUAUUGUUAUUAUUCAUGAAAAGACUUUAAUAUAAUCAAUGAAAUAAAGGUAAAUGUUUUUCUGUAACCUCCUUGACC